AAAAGGUGGCUGUGCUUUUAUGCUGGUGGUCGCACCUCUUCCCUGGUACUGAAGGCACAGAAGUUUGCUGCACUCCCUGGUCACUUGAACACGGUGGCACCGUGGGGCGGGGCGUCAGUCUCGGCCUGUUGGCGGUGAUGCAGACCAGGACACUGUGGUCUUUCCAGCCAGACUUGACCUCGUGUUCAAGGUUUGUGACUGUGUAACAAGAUGUCUCUGUAUGGAGCAGUGUCAAGUUCCUAUUUUCGUCUUUAAGAUUUUCUACAGGGAAAGCAGAUCUCUGUUCUGCUGCAGCAACGCAGGGGAUACCAUGUACAAAGGAGAGCUGCAUCAUGAGUGCUAAGCUGCUCUGGACUGCCCAGGCCUGGCUGCAGAAGACGAUGACCCAAAACUAAAGGCAAUGCAUUCACCGUGGAGGAAGAAGGGCAGCUUGGCUGUACCAGGAGGGCCGUGGAUGCAGGUGCACUGAGCGUGGCCAGGUGUUCCCUCCCAAGCAGGGUCUGCUGUUUCAAUGGGAUCGCCCAUUUCUGGAAUUAAUUUCUGCAAACCUCACGUUGGUCCUUCUGAGAGAAACAAUGAGGAAUACGAAGGACAAUCGGAGUGGGGCAACAGGAGGAAGGCCAACAGGCGGGACAGGUCUGGACGGGUGAACUGAAGUAAAGCACCACCUGGCUUGCUAAGGGCUGGAGUCAGCACCGUCACACAGCUCCCAGGCAGCUCAGCAAGAAUGAUGAAGGACAAAUCCAGCACCUCCGGGGCUUCUCAGAGCAGCAGAACAGUGCUGUUCACGGCUGGCAAGUACCCCUGUCUUUCAAGAUGAUGUUCAUCUGAAUGGCCCUGCUGUAAGGGAUGCCUGCCUAAGGGUUUCCUCUCAGAAGCAGUAAAUUCUUAACACAUCUGAAGGAUCAAAAUGCAAACUCCUUUUGGAUCCUACAGAAACUGGAGAACAUAAUUUGUUCCUGAUGCUCCUGAGGCCUAACCUGCUCUCACUGUCAACACACCACUAUGAAUACAAGAUGAAGCACCAACUGAUCAUUGGAGGACAAGAGUUUAUGCAGGUGCUGAGGUGAGAUUCUCACAAAGUCUUCACAUUCCACCACCUCAGUGAAGUGUUCGCAGGCGUACUGAUCGGCCAUGUCCAUCAAGUCGAUGCGGUUGUGACUCUCUGCGAACGCCCUGACUGCCAGGCAGUUGGAGGGAUGAAAGUGCAGCUUCAUGUACUCGCAGCAAGCCUUUGCCACCAGUUCCACCUGAAGAAUGCAGGCAGCAUACAGGAGCGGCUGGACAUUGUCUACAGUCAGCGUAAGCCGGGAGGAGUACACAAACUUCACGAGGUCUUCUACUGCGUCACCAUCAAAGUCCCUGAUUUCAAUCAAAGUCUGCUUGGCUUCAGCCAUCUCUGAAAGAAACAUGGCUCUGAAGUAAGGUAUAACGCACGCUAGCACCAGUUUGUGGCAGGAGAUGAGCUUUGUACCAACCUGUGAAAAAAGAAAAGAAAGAACUAUUUUUUCAGUUACUUUCCUUCAGCUCUACAAGAAAGGCCAGUUAAGCUGAAAAUGUAGAAUUCUGGGUUCAAUACGCAUUGAACUCCCAUAUUUUGCUGAAACAAACAAACUCUGUUUGCUCUGUACUGCUGACAUUAGACCAGUGCAUCCCAAGCAGAUCUGAGCUGUAACUUGGCCACCAGAGCAUGGCAAGGCCAUAACACAAGGAAGCAGUAUCAUUCAUCUGCUGAAUUUUUUUGUCUUUCAAGAGCCAUGCCCCAUUUUUUAAAGGAAACUUCCUUAGGAACCUUCUCAAAGCAUCUUGGAGACAGGAGGUGACUGCCAAAAAAAAGUCUUGGUUGUUUUAUGAGCACGUAGAGAUUUUGCAGGAAAAUCUCUAAAGUGACAUUUUAAAACUAUUUAAUUUAAACCUCUGCACUUUUACUACUGUUUGGGGAGUCUGUAAUGCUCUUCAUAUAAGCAAAAUCAUGUAAAACUGCAAUAAUAAGAGCAAGUAUAAAUAAACAUAAGGAUUAUUAAAGGUUACCAAUCACUUCAAGGCUUUAGAAGUUAGUUAGAUGUGCUCAAAAGAUGUACUAUUUCCUAUAUUUUUUAAAAUUCUGAUCAGAAAUUGUGAAACAAACUUUUCACUUAGAAAUCUGCAGAUUUCAAUUAUGUUAAAAGAUAGCCUAAUACUUGUGUUAUAGCAGUGCUUUCUUACAAACCUGGUCAUUUUUCAGUCUGUACUAACAUAAAGGGAUGGGAGUUAAGCAACAAAUUUCAUUGACAGAUUUCAAGUAUGUCUUCAUUUUCAGAUUAAGGUGUGAGUGAUUUAAAAGGAAAAAAAAAGGGAUUUUAAAUUCUAUAGGAUAUUUUGGAGUUUUUCUAGAUGUGAUUCAAUACAGAAUCGCUCUUUCCUUUUUAACAGUGUUAUCAACACAGGUGUAAGCUGUUUAGAGAGCAGCACAUUCAGUUCCAAAAGCAAAUACACAGGGAGGAGCAUAAGGACAGAUUCAAAGACAGGAAUGAGCUGUUCACACGACAGGAGCAGUACUUCAGGAGAAAUUCCUGAUUUACAUUUGCAGAGCACAAGUCUCCCCGUGUGUUCGUGUGGCUUAUGACAGUUACAGUGUUAGUACUCAGCUACUGGUGUAAGCAGCUGUUGCUCUAGCCUCCGCAGAUUCUCUUCUCCACUUCAGGACUGGCAGCCUUCAAUCUAAUAUUUUUAAAUUACCAAAACAGCUUCACACAAAUAAAAAUGAACAGUAAGAAAAGCCUAACUUAAGGAAAGUUAAAUUGCAGCCAUAGGAAAGUAUAUUUUCCAUGCCCAAUUUCCCUAGCCAGAACACACAUUAACUAUGCUUAUAACGACUGUAAGCAAUAAGACUAUUAUAAAAUAAACAGAAAAGGAGGCUUUUUUGCAAGGGUGGAUAGAAGGGGAGAAAGGAGAAGAUGAGGUCAAAAGAAGCGAAAGGAAGGGAUGCGUUGUUAAGAGUUCUGAAAUGCUCUUCCCCAAAAGAAGGUUUGUAGGUGCUGGCAACCACAGCUACAAAUGGUAAAUAUAAUUUUCUUGUGAUCGGGGUAUAAAUAAGAUAGAGCUGAGCUGCAAAGAAUGCAUUUAAACACAAUGCAGUGCAAGAAUUGUACAACUGGUUCCCUCCUCAUUUACUCUUUGAUUGGUUGUAGAACGACAUGACUGUCUGAGGUUCUUUUUCUUCUUUGCGAAUGCUGGGAGUUAGAUUUGUUCCAGAAAUCCUGUUUGUCAGGAAAGAUACGUAAGAGCAACACAGAAUGCAAAAAUAGAAAAAUUGGGAUCAAAUUGCAUAGUAAUGAACUGAUCAGUUGUGGGAACUUGCUUAGAACGCAAGUUGGGUGAGGUGACAGUCACGUUCUUGAUCUCUGGGAUUGUCAGUAUCUUCAACAUUCACAUUUUAGUUGUGAACUUUCUAAACGAC